rnacentral:rRNA from 1 species
GGUGAUGAUGGCAGAGAGGUCACACCCGUUCCCAUACCGAACACGGAAGUUAAGCUCUCUAGCGCCGAUGGUAGUUGGGACCUUGUCCCUGUGAGAGUAGGACGUCGCCAAGCUA